AGGACGAACGCUGGCGGCGUGCUUAACACAUGCAAGUCGAGCGGAAAGGCCCUUCGGGGUACUCGAGCGGCGAACGGGUGAGUAACACGUGAGCAACCUGCCCUUAGCUCCGGGAUAGCUCCGGGAAACCGGAAUUAAUACCGGAUAUGACCACGGCCGACAUCUGCUGUGGUGGAAAGGAUUCCGGCUAAGGAUGGGCUCGCGGCCUAUCAGCUAGUUGGUGGAGUAACGGCCCACCAAGGCGACGACGGGUA
rnacentral:rRNA from 1 species